CGUAGGGUGCGAGCGUUAAUCGGAAUUACUGGGCGUAAAGCGUGCGCAGGCGGUUUUGUAAGACAGGCGUGAAAUCCCCGGGCUCAACCUGGGAACUGCGCUUGUGACUGCAAGGCUAGAGUACGGCAGAGGGGGUGGAAUUCCACGUGUAGCAGUGAAAUGCGUAGAGAUGCGGAGGAACACCAAUGGCGAAGGCAGCCCCCUGGGUCGAUACUGACGCUCAUGCACGAAAGCGUGGGUAGCAAACAGGAUUAGAUACCCUGGUAGUCCACGCCCUAAACGAUGUCAACUAGGUGUUGGGUGGGUAAACCCAUUUAGUACCGGAGCUAACGCGUGAAGUUGACCGCCUGGGGAGUACGGCCGCAAGGUUA
rnacentral:rRNA from 1 species